UGGUGGAGUGAUUUGUCUGGUUAAUUCCGAUAACGAACGAGACCUUAACCUGCUAAAUAGUCACGCGAAUUUUUAUUCGCGGCUGACUUCUUAGAGGGACUAUUGACGUUUAGUCAGUGGAAGUUUGAGGCAAUAACA
rnacentral:rRNA from 1 species